rnacentral:tRNA from 13 species
GUAUCCAUGGUGUAGCGGUUAUUACAUCCGCCUAACACGCGGAUGGUUCCAGGUUCGAUACCUGGUGGGUACA